UAAUACAUGCAAGUCGAACGCACUCUCGUUUAGAUUGAAGGAGCUUGCUCCUGAUUGAUAAACAUUUGAUUGAGUGGCGGACGGGUGAGUAACACGUGGGUAACCUGCCCUAAAGUGGGGGAUAACAUUUGGAAACAGAUGCUAAUACCGCAUAAAACCUAACACCGCAUGGUGUAGGGUUGAAAGAUGGUUUCGGCUAUCACUUUAGGAUGGACCCGCGGUGCAUUAGUUAGUUGGUGAGGUAAAGGCUCACCAAGACCGUGAUGCAUAGCCGACCUGAGAGGGUAAUCGGCCACACUGGGACUGAGACACGGCCCAGACUCCUACGGGAGGCAGCAGUAGGGAAUCUUCCACAAUGGACGAAAGUCUGAUGGAGCAACGCCGCGUGAGUGAAGAAGGUUUUCGGAUCGUAAAACUCUGUUGUUGGAGAAGAAUGUAUCUGAUAGUAACUGAUCAGGUAGUGACGGUAUCCAACCAGAAAGCCACGGCUAACUACGUGCCAGCAGCCGCGGUAAUACGUAGGUGGCAAGCGUUGUCCGGAUUUAUUGGGCGUAAAGCGAGCGCAGGCGGUUUCUUAAGUCUGAUGUGAAAGCCUUCGGCUCAACCGAAGAAGUGCAUCG
rnacentral:rRNA from 2 species